rfam:Gossypium raimondii Chr10_contig_22, whole genome shotgun sequence.
UGUUAAAAUUUCAUCCAUUUGUAUUGUUAAAAUUUGACUUGCUAAUCAAACUACGACACAUAGCAUGCUACGUGUACCUCAUGCUGACGUACAAUGAUCAGUUUUUAACAACAAAAAUGAACGAAAUUUUUAACA